CUGACGAUAUUAAAUAAGCAAAUUACUAUAAUUGAACGUUUCUGAGUGUAUAAAUAAUGUCGGAGACUUUUAACAUACGUCACCGGUAAUAUUGAAACAAGUGGAAUAAUUAUUAACGACACCGCUUAUUUUGUGUGUUUCCAAUUAACUGGACUAAUCUAAUUAUAUGACACAUUGUAAUUAGCUCAUGUUAAAGUGAAUGUUUGUUUGUGCAUAAGACAGGGUGACCUACGUGUUUCAGGGUCGGUGAUCCAUGACCUUCGUUAAAUAUUUCAUUUCAUCGCAGCUUAAAUCGUUAAUUGGUUGUUCCCUAUUUUUCAGAGGAAAUGGCUUUUACUCAACAACAAAUCAAUCAUUGAACUUUCCUCACCUUUCUUCAUUUGUCAUUUCGACUUUAUAUCAAACAUUCUACUGGUGAGUAGAAAAUAUAUCUAUAUUACAUCUGUUUCACACGUAUAAACGGAGGACUGUGAUAUCUUAAGACAAUAAACUAAACCAUAAUUAACCCACAGGCAUUUGUCAGUUUUUUCAAAGAAUUUCUCAAGGAUUAAUAUGGAGAACAGUAAUCACUUGGAUACUUCUAAGACGAAACACAAAAAAAUACAUAACUGUGAUAUAUGUGACAAAUCUUUUGCUUCAAACAGUGUUUUAAGAAUUCAUACAAGAAUCCACACGGGAGAGAAACCGUUUCACUGUGACAUCUGUGGGAAAUCUUUUGUUAAUAAUUCUCAUCUUGUAGUUCACAAACGUAGUCAUACGGGAGAGAAACCCUACAAUUGUGAAAUAUGUGGAAAAUAUUUUGUCAAUAAUAGUGAUUUGACAAAACAUAAACGAAUCCACACAGGGGAGAAACCCUACCAUUGUGAAAUCUGUGGGAAAAAAUUUGUGCAUAGCAGUGUCUUGACCACACACAAGCGGAUCCAUACGGGGGAAAAACCUUGUCGUUGUGAUGUGUGCGGCAAGUCUUUCACACGAACUUCUCGUCUUGUUAUUCAUAAUCGUAUUCACACUGGAGAAAAACCUUAUCACUGUGAAAUAUGUGGCAAGUCUUUUUCCGAUAAUUCCAAUCUUGUUAUCCACAUUCGUAGUCACACCGGGGAAAAGCCGUUCCACUGUGGGACUUGUGGGAAAUCGUUUAUUACUAACAGUGAUUUAAACAGACACAAGCGAAUUCACACGGGAGAGAAACCGUUUCAUUGCGAGAUCUGCGGCAAGUCUUUUCUCUCGAACAGUGACUUAAUAAAGCAUAAACGAAUUCACACGGGAGAGAAACCGUUUCCGUGUGAAAUGUGUGGUAAAUAUUUUGUAAACAAUUCUUGUCUUGCUGUUCACAAACGGAUACAUACGGGAGAAAGAACUUACCAUUGUGAAAUAUGCGGAAAAUCUUUUGUGUCUAAUAGUGAUUUGACUAAACAUAAACGAAUCCAUACGGGAGAGAAACCCUACCAUUGUGAGAUAUGUGGGAAGUGUUUCUCUGUCAAUUCCAGUCUAAUAGUUCACAAGCGUAGUCACACUGGAGAAAGACCAUAUCAUUGUGAACUAUGUGAGAAAUCUUUUAUCACUAAUGCUCUCUUAAAAACACACCAACUGACACAUAUUGGAGGGAAACCCUUUAACUGUGAAAUGUGAAAAAAAAAACCUUUUUAUUGAAAUACAAACUCUUUAUCUGCUAACAUGUACAUCUAUCAAUGGUGUGAGUCACAACUUGUCGUUAUUACUGAAUGUCUGCUUUCCAUGCUGGUAUGGGUUGGACAGUGUGACAGGAUCUAAGUGAGCUGCAGGCAUAUGUUAUCUGCAUUGUGCUCCAUGUAAGCAUUAGGAAGGGUAGCCAGCUGUAAAAACCAUGCCAAAGCAAGCAGGGGAGCUUGGCACAGCUUAUUAGUUCAUGUCAAAAGGCCGCGAGCUGGCAGAAUCGUUAGCAUGCCGGGCGAAAUGCUUAGUGGUAUUUCGUCUGCCACCACGUUCUGAGUUCAAAUUCCGCCAAGGUCAACUUUGCCUUUCGUCCAUUUGGGGUCGAUAAAUUAAGUACCAGUUGUAUACUGGGGUUAAUCUAAUCGACUGUCUCCUCCCCUCCAAAUUUUAGGCCUUGUGCCUAUAAUAGAAAGGAUUAGUUCGUGUCAAACCAUUCAGCUGAUGCUGCUAUGGAAAAAGGGUCCUUCGAUGAUCAUUGUCAUCAUCAAAUGAGCAUCUUCCAUGCUGGCAAGGGUUGGAUAAUUUGACAAUCCAGUGAGUCCAAGGAUUGCAUCAUGCUCCAAUUUCAGCUUUGAUAUGGUUUCUACGACUGGAUGCCCUUCCUAAUGCCAACCACUUUGUAGAGUAUGUAGUGGGAACUUUUGUUUCUUUUCAUACUACCAGCGCUUGUGAGGUCGCCAAGUAACAGGAAAAGAACAAAGUGUGGCGGCGGGUGUGAGAUAGGGGUGCUUUAUGUCAGUUGUUGACAGGCUUAAUUAGGAUAGAGGGACAAGCACAGGUGUUGUGCUUUAGGGCAGAUACAUGGCUAUUCCACAUUAUACGAGGAUAGGUGAUGGUAACUGAGAAAGAGAUAAUAAUGGUGUAUGUGAGCAAACUUUCUAGGUCAAGCUCUGUGAAUUCUUGUCUACAAAUGUUCUUUUGCUCAAAAAAAAAAUCAUUUACUCCAUUCACCUCUACUACCACCACCACCUCCUUUUUAUCCAUCUGUCACUCUCCCCUCACACUUACCCACGACCCACCCACCCUUCCUGAUCCUCUGUCCCUAUCCUCUCUUUUCUACUUACCUUGCUGUACUUUAAGGGUAUGCUCUGACAUCUCAUCACCAUCUUUUUCUUUUCUCACUCACCCUUGUAUAAUGUGUGGGAUAGCCAGAUCCCCCCUCUGCAGCCAGAAACCUGAGCGCUGUCCUUCAGUGUUCAGAUUUCUUUGUCAAAUGUAAAAAAGCAAAUUUCUCACCACACAGCUGCCACCCCUGCACAUAAAUGGACAUGAAUUUCAAGAAAUAGCUUCUUUUUUUCUUUUUUCUUUGUUUUGAUUACAUGGAAAUUUAUAUUAUUUAUUCUUGAAAUUCUUAACUCCUUCCCAAAAAAAUUGCACUUCAUAUUCAAAACUUGAAACUAUAAGGAGAUACCCUGGCACUCAACUAUGAAUCCACUGCAUCCUAUAGCAGAAACAGCUAUAAGCUAGUGAAGUUCAUAAGAUAAUUUUUUUCCUUUGUCAUCUCUCUUUUGUGUUUUUGUUCCUUAAGACUUAAGGAUCGUCAU